AUACUUACGUGGUAGGGCAGAUACUGUGAUCAGGGGGGUAGUUUUCCUAGGGCGAGGCUUGUCCAUUGCACGGCGGGUGCGCUGGUCCGUGGGGUCUCCCCAAAUCCGGAAACACCCCUGCACCCCGUGUGCGUGCGUGGGGGGGGGUACUGCAUCUGCGCUCU